CACUGAUAAACUGCUUGAGUUCAUUCCAAAUCUAUGCAAUGCCAGUUUUCGACAAUUUCGAGUUGAGGUACAUUAGCAUCAAGAAAAAACGAUGCUCGCGCUGGGUUCGAACAGGUUUGCGUCUUUUAUUCGGAGGUUUAGCAUUCUUGGUAGCAGUUGCUUUCCCAUUUUUGCCUAGUCUUGCAAGUUUAAUAGGAGGAAUGGCACUACCUCUCACCUUUGCUUACCCAAGUUUCAUGUGGAUAUCAAUCAAGAAACCACGUAGAAAUGGUUUCAUGUGGUGUUUUAAUUUGGGGCUUGGUUGCUUAG
rnacentral:misc_RNA from 1 species